rnacentral:lncRNA from 1 species
AUAUCGGAAGCUGGGAUUUGAGGUUGUUCUGGGAUGAACUUACGAACGGGAUACUCGGGAGGAGAUGAGAAGAUAAGGAUGAUAGUUUUGAAGCAGGAGAGGAUGCAUUUGGACGUUGGGAUGCUUGACGAGCGAGAUGAAGACCGGAUCAACAUGACGUGAGGCUGGAUAUGGCAUGGGAUGCGGAAGAAGCUAGGAUCCGGUUCUAAUCCGUGAAGCUUGGGAAUCUAGUUGGGAUAAAGAUUGGUUGGUUUGGGAGGAAGUUUGGAUUCAGCUGUGUCUUGGUUCCGAAUGGGAGGAAGAAGAGGAUUCGCUUGGGAACUAGCGGUUGCUGGUUCUCACGCGGAACAGGGGAUUUUGGGAUUUUGUUUGUGAAUGGAAAGAGUCCAGAACAAGAAGAAGGUGAUGAUGACGUUGGGAACAAACACGGAUGACUG